rnacentral:lncRNA from 1 species
AGUCAUCGAAUCGGCACUAGAGGGUUGAGAUUGAACCUUCUGGAUUGAGGUGACACGGCCCAAUCUAAGCCCUCCGAUGCCGAUCCGAUGAUUGAGAGUUCGGGUGGGCAGCUGCCCCUAUGUUCACAAAGUAUUUAACCACCCUUUUAAAUUUGAUCUGAUUUCACCAAAUGCAAAUUUCGCCGCAGCAAGGGAGAUCAACAUAUAUUGGACCACCAAAGCUCUCUCUCGUUUCAAAUCGGGUUCUUACAAAGAAGGUGGUUGAACAAGCACGGCCCAUGUUUGUUUUAAACAGAGGAUGGAGUUUAGCCGUCGACUCCACAAAACGACACCAGUUCCCUUUUGUCUUCCUUCAGAUUUCUUAGGCCCGCUUCGUGCUAUUAUUGUAAAUUUGGAAAAUUUUUACUUGUGUGGAUGAAAUGAAGAGUAGUCACACUUUUUUCCUGCGGGUACAAGAGAAGUCACACUCCCUCCCUUCCAAAUUUUCUAGACGUAUAUAUGCAUAAUAAUAUUUAUGCGGAUCGAGUAUAUAGUAUAUGUGUAUACAUAAUAAAUAGAAAAAGGAAAAAAAGAAGAGGGGGAAAAAAUUCUAUUGACCUCCUUCCCUGGGCGCGCGGGUAACUAGGGGAGAAAUGCGGCGACGACGAGUAGUAGGAGACGAAGAUUCUAUU